GACGAACCGAGCGAACGUUGUUCGGAAUCACUGGGCUUAAAGGGCGCGUAGGCGGGCUGCCGAGUCCGGGGUGAAAGCCCCCCGCUCAACGGGGGAACGGCCUCGGAUACUGGCGGCCUGGAGGCGGGUAGGGGCGUGCGGAACUGUGGGUGGAGCGGUGAGAUGCGUUGAGAUCCACAGGAACUCCGGUGGCGAAGGCGGCACGCUGGACCCGAACUGACGCUGAGGCGCGAAAGCCAGGGGAGCGAACGGG
rnacentral:rRNA from 1 species